GCGUAGGGCGCGAGCGUUGUUCGGAUUUACUGGGCGUAAAGCGCACGUAGGCGGAUCGUUAAGUCGGGGGUGAAAUCCUGGAGCUCAACUCCAGAACUGCCUUCGAUACUGGCGAUCUUGAGUCCGGAAGAGGUGAGUGGAACUCCUAGUGUAGAGGUGGAAUUCGUAGAUAUUAGGAAGAACACCAGUGGCGAAGGCGGCUCACUGGUCCGGUACUGACGCUGAGGUGCGAAAGCGUGGGGAGCAACAGGAU
rnacentral:rRNA from 1 species